rnacentral:rRNA from 1 species
UACGUAGGGUGCAAGCGUUAAUCGGAAUUACUGGGCGUAAAGCGUGCGCAGGCGGUUUUGUAAGUCCGAUGUGAAAUCCCCGGGCUUAACCUGGGAACUGCGUUUGAAACUACAAGGCUAGAGUGUGACAGAGGGGGGUGGAAUUCCACGUGUAGCAGUGAAAUGCGUAGAGAUGUGGAGGAACACCGAUGGCGAAGGCAGCCCCCUGGGUUAACACUGACGCUGAGGAGCGAAAGCGUGGGGAGCGAACAGG